GAUGAACGCUGGCGGCGUGCUUAACACAUGCAAGUCGAACGGACGAUGAAGAGCUUGCUUUUCAAAGUUAGUGGCGGACGGGUGAGUAACGCGUGGGUAACCUGCCUCAUACAGGGGGAUAGCAGCUGGAAACGGCUGAUAAAACCGCAUAAGCGCACAGCAUCGCAUGAUGCAGUGUGAAAAACUCCGGUGGUAUGAGAUGGACCCGCGUCUGAUUAGCUUGUUGGUGAGGUAACGGCCCACCAAGGCGACGAUCAGUAGCCGGCCUGAGAGGGUGACCGGCCACAUUGGGACUGAGACACGGCCCAAACUCCUACGGGAGGCAGCAGUGGGGAAUAUUGCACAAUGGGGGAAACCCUGAUGCAGCGACGCCGCGUGAAGGAAGAAGUAUCUCGGUAUGUAAACUUCUAUCAGCAGGGAAGAUAA
rnacentral:rRNA from 1 species